rnacentral:lncRNA from 1 species
GUUUCUUUCCCUACCUAGUCCCCAUUUUCUGGUAAGGUUUCUAGGAGGUCUGUUAGGUGUACAUCCUGCAGCUUAUUGGCUUAAAAUGUACUCUCCUUUUAUGUGGUCUCUUUGGGGCCGAUUGGGAGAAAGAGAAAUCAAUAGUGCAACUGUUUUGAUACUGAAUAUUGACAAGUGUCUUUUUGAAAUAAAGAACCAGUCCCUCCAAAAAAAAAAAAAAAGAAAAAGAAAA